UACAGAGGCCACGAGCGUUAGGCGGAAUCACUGGGCUUAAAAGCGUGUGUAGGUGGAUGGGUAAGUACCUUGUGAAAUCCCACGGCUCAACCGUGGAACUGCUUGGUAUACUGCCUGUCUUGAGGCACUCAGGGGCGAGCGGAACAGAUGGUGGAGCGGUGAAAUGCGUAGAUAUCAUCUGGAACGCCAAUGGUGAAGACAGCUCGCUGGGGGGUGUACUGACACUGAGACACGAAAGCCAGGGGAGCAAACGGG
rnacentral:rRNA from 1 species